CCUACGGGAGGCUGCAGUGGGGAAUAUUGGACAAUGGGCGAAAGCCUGAUCCAGCCAUGCCGCGUGUGUGAAGAAGGCCUUCGGGUUGUAAAGCACUUUCAGUGGGGAAGAAAGCCUUGGGGCUAAUACCCUCGAGGAAGGACAUCACCCACAGAAGAAGCACCGGCUAACUCCGUGCCAGCAGCCGCGGUAAUACGGAGGGUGCGAGCGUUAAUCGGAAUUACUGGGCGUAAAGCGCGCGUAGGCGGUCUGAUAAGCCGGUUGUGAAAGCCCCGGGCUCAACCUGGGAACGGCAUCCGGAACUGUCAGGCUAGAGUGCAGGAGAGGAAGGUAGAAUUCCCGGGGUAGCGGUGAAAUGCGUAGAGAUCGGGAGGAAUACCAGUGGCGAAGGCGGCCUUCUGGACUGACACUGACGCUGAGGUGCGAAAGCGUGGGUAGCAAACAGGAUUAGAUACCCGGGUAGUC
rnacentral:rRNA from 1 species